UUUGAAAACAGAUGGCGUAUCAAGUGGAGAUGAGGGUGAGAAGGAUUGGUUUUACGGUGGUGAAUAUAAGUAGUAGUGGAAUCCUAGUAAAUCCAAAAUAAAUUCGGUUUAUUUUUUUGGGGGGUCGGAGUGAGGGUUUUGAAUCGAUGUUGUUACCUGGGAGAUCCGUUUGAAUUGUCUAUAAGAAAUCGUGUGUGCGUUGGAUGAGGUGGCGUCGGUGAGAGUAACGGGAAGUGGGCUUGUUGUGGUUUUCUGUGUAUCCGUGAAACAGAAGGAGCGUAGUCUGCGCCUCAAGAAGAUAUCAGACUGGAAUGUGUCGCGUUGGUCUUCGAAGCAGCACACCUAUAAAAGGGGUUUAUCUCUGAAUGCCAAGGAAAUACGUUAAGAAUUGGAUCAAUUGGUUGGUGCACAAACUAGCGGUUCUGGGGGGGGGGGUGUAAGGCUACCUGUCUGCCAAUUGAAGCUCAACAGAAGUUGGGUGAUGCAACAAGACAACAACAGAAUGGCUUCAACAGAAGAAAAUACGCCUUCUCGAGUGGCCCAGUCAGAGUCCUGACCUCAACCUGAUUUGAGAUGCUGUGGUAUGACCUCAAGAGAGCGGUUCACACCAGACAUCUCAAGAAUAUUGCUGAUCUGAAACAGUUUUGUAAAGAGGAAUGGUCCAAAAUUCCUCCUGGCCGUUGUGCAGGUCUGAUCGUCAACAACAGAAAACGUUUGGUUGAGGUUAUCGCUGCCAAAGGAGGGUCAAUCAGUUAUUAAAUCCAAGGUUUCACAUACUUUUCCCACCCUGCACUGUGAAUGUUUACACGGUGUGUUCAAUAAAGACAUGUAUAAUUGUUUGUGUUUUAUUCGUUUAUUAGUGUGUUAUUAGUUUAAGCAGACUGUGUUUUGUCUGUUGUUGUGACUUAGAUGAAGAUCAGAUCAAAUGUUAUGACCAAUUUAUGCAGAAAUCCAGGUAAUUCCAAAGGGUUCACAUACUUUUUCACAUACCCCCUGUAUAUACUGGGUGGUGUCAGAGGACUGGACCGGUACCCCCUGUAUAUACUGGGUGGUGUCAGAGGACUGGACCGGUACCCCCUGUAUAUACUAGGUGGUGUCAGAGGACUGGACCGGUACCCCCUGUAUAUACUAG
rnacentral:lncRNA from 1 species